UAACUUCCUUUUUUUUUUUUUUUUUGCAAAAUUUAUUUUACUUUAUGUCAGAGGAAAAUGGUUGAACAGCUACUUCUUGAACCUGAUGCAAGUUAUGCCAUCAUCUGUGAUAACCUAAAGAAGGUUUAUCCUGGAAAGGAUGGAAACCAGGAUAAGUUUGCAGUUCAAGGUUUAUCUCUUGCCUUGCCACAUGGAGAAUGCUUUGGUCUGCUUGGCCCUAAUGGUGCUGGAAAGACAACCUUCAUCAAUUUGAUGAUUGGUCUUAUAGCACCCACAUCUGAAAUGCAUUUGUCCGAGGAUUCAGCAUACAGAAUGAUAUGGACAAAAUAUACAGCUGUAUGAGAGUGUGCCCACAGAAUGACAUGCUCUGGGAAAUGUUGACAGGUAGGGAGCAUCUAUUGUCCUUUUGGUCGAUUGAAGAACCUUAAAGGUUCUGCUUUAAUGCUUUCGUGUUGCUGAUAAACAAGUCAAGAAAUACGGUGGUGGUAUGAAAAGUAGGCUUAGUGUUGCCAUCUCAAUAGGAGAUCCUAAAGUUGUCUUCAUGGAUGAGCCCAGCACUGGUCUAGAUCCUGCUUCAAGAAAAAAAUUGUGAAUGUUUUGAAGCAUGCAAAGCAGAACAGAGCAACUAUUCUUACCACACAUUCGAUGGAAGAGGCUGAGUUUCUAUGUGAUCGAUUGGGAAUCUUUGUAGAUGGCAGUCUUCAGUGCAUAGGAAACCCAAGAGAGUUGAAGGCCAGAUAUGGAGAGUCUUAUGUCUUUACAAUGACAACAUCUCCGAACGACGAACAAGAAGUGGAGAAUUUAGUAUUUACAAUGACUCCUAAUGCGAAGAGGAUUUAUCAGAUAUCAGUGACGCAGAAAUUCGAAUUGUCAAAGCAGGAAGUCAGAAUUGCUGCUG